GUCAGCAUGGCGUAGUGGUUUGAGUAUUGGACUACAACUCUGGAGCUCAGGAUUCAAUUCCCAGCUCAGACA